ACGAACGCUGGCGGCGUGCUUAACACAUGCAAGUCGAACGGAAAGGCCCUGCUUUUGUGGGGUGCUCGAGUGGCGAACGGGUGAGUAACACGUGAGUAACCUGCCCUUGACUUUGGGAUAACUUCAGGAAACUGGGGCUAAUACCGGAUAGGAGCUCCUGCUGCAUGGUGGGGGUUGGAAAGUUUCGGCGGUUGGGGAUGGACUCGCGGCUUAUCAGCUUGUUGGUGGGGUAGUGGCUUACCAAGGCUUUGACGGGUAGCCGGUCUGAGAGGGUGACCGGCCACAUUGGGACUGAGAUACGGCCCAGACUCCUACGGGAGGCAGCAGUGGGGAAUAUUGCACAAUGGGCGGAAGCCUGAUGCAGCAACGCAGCGUGCGGGAUGACGGCCUUCGGGUUGUAAACCGCUUUCGCCUGUGACGAAGCGUGAGUGACGGUAAUGGGUAAAGAAGCACCGGCUAACUACGUG
rnacentral:rRNA from 1 species